GACCAAACCAUUUAGAGCAAGCACUUUUGUAUUUAAAGGAUCAAAACAUAUGGUAUAAAGAUGUGGCUAUCAACAAUGAAUGGAUUAAUCCAAUUCCUGAAUUAGACGAUGAUCAAGUAGUAAAUGAGGAAUCUGAAUCUGAUGAUACUGAGCUGGUGAUGGAAAACGAAAUACAGGAAGAAGAAAUGACAAAGUCUUCUACAACAGGCAAUGAAAGAGAAAUAGAAAGUGAACCAGUUAGCUACAUUGAUGAUAGUUUACGUGGUGUUCAGUUAGACACUUGUUUACAACCUGCUGAUAUCGGAC
rnacentral:lncRNA from 1 species